rnacentral:rRNA from 1 species
GGUUAAGCGACUAAGCGUACACGGUGGAUGCCCUGGCAGUCAGAGGCGAUGAAGGACGUGCUAAUCUGCGAUAAGCGUCGGUAAGGUGAUAUGAACCGUUAUAACCGGCGAUUUCCGAAUGGGGAAACCCAGUGUGUUUCGACACACUAUCAUUAACUGAAUCCAUAGGUUAAUGAGGCGAACCGGGGGAACUGAAACAUCUAAGUACCCCGAGGAAAAGAAAUCAACCGAGAUUCCCCCAGUAGCGGCGAGCGAACGGGGAGGAGCCCAGAGCCUGAAUCAGUGUGUGUGUUAGUGGAAGCGUCUGGAAAGGCGCGCGAUACAGGGUGACAGCCCCGUACACAAAAAUGCACAUAUUGUGAGCUCGAUGAGUAGGGCGGGACACGUGGUAUCCUGUCUGAAUAUGGGGGGACCAUCCUCCAAGGCUAAAUACUCCUGACUGACCGAUAGUGAACCAGUACCGUGAGGGAAAGGCGAAAAGAACCCCGGCGAGGGGAGUGAAAAAGAACCUGAAACCGUGUACGUACAAGCAGUGGGAGCCUCUUAAUGGGGUGACUGCGUACCUUUUGUAUAAUGGGUCAGCGACUUAUAUUCUGUAGCAAGGUUAACCGAAUAGGGGAGCCGAAGGGAAACCGAGUCUUAACUGGGCGUUAAGUUGCAGGGUAUAGACCCGAAACCCGGUGAUCUAGCCAUGGGCAGGUUGAAGGUUGGGUAACACUAACUGGAGGACCGAACCGACUAAUGUUGAAAAAUUAGCGGAUGACUUGUGGCUGGGGGUGAAAGGCCAAUCAAACCGGGAGAUAGCUGGUUCUCCCCGAAAGCUAUUUAGGUAGCGCCUCGUGAAUUCAUCUCCGGGGGUAGAGCACUGUUUCGGCAAGGGGGUCAUCCCGACUUACCAACCCGAUGCAAACUGCGAAUACCGGAGAAUGUUAUCACGGGAGACACACGGCGGGUGCUAACGUCCGUCGUGAAGAGGGAAACAACCCAGACCGCCAGCUAAGGUCCCAAAGUCAUGGUUAAGUGGGAAACGAUGUGGGAAGGCCCAGACAGCCAGGAUGUUGGCUUAGAAGCAGCCAUCAUUUAAAGAAAGCGUAAUAGCUCACUGGUCGAGUCGGCCUGCGCGGAAGAUGUAACGGGGCUAAACCAUGCACCGAAGCUGCGGCAGCGACACUAUGUGUUGUUGGGUAGGGGAGCGUUCUGUAAGCCUGUGAAGGUAGCCUGUGAGGGUUGCUGGAGGUAUCAGAAGUGCGAAUGCUGACAUAAGUAACGAUAAAGCGGGUGAAAAGCCCGCUCGCCGGAAGACCAAGGGUUCCUGUCCAACGUUAAUCGGGGCAGGGUGAGUCGAUCCCUAAGGCGAGGCCGAAAGGCGUAGUCGAUGGGAAACAGGUUAAUAUUCCUGUACUUGGUGUUACUGCGAAGGGGGGACGGAGAAGGCUAUGUUGGCCGGGCGACGGUUGUCCCGGUUUAAGCGUGUAGGCUGGUUUUCCAGGCAAAUCCGGAAAAUCAAGGCUGAGGCGUGAUGACGAGGCACUACGGUGCUGAAGCGACAAAUGCCCUGCUUCCAGGAAAAGCCUCUAAGCAUCAGGUAACAUCAAAUCGUACCCCAAACCGACACAGGUGGUCAGGUAGAGAAUACCAAGGCGCUUGAGAGAACUCGGGUGAAGGAACUAGGCAAAAUGGUGCCGUAACUUCGGGAGAAGGCACGCUGAUAUGUAGGUGAAGCGACUUGCUCGUGGAGCUGAAAUCAGUCGAAGAUACCAGCUGGCUGCAACUGUUUAUUAAAAACACAGCACUGUGCAAACACGAAAGUGGACGUAUACGGUGUGACGCCUGCCCGGUGCCGGAAGGUUAAUUGAUGGGGUUAGCGGUAACGCGAAGCUCUUGAUCGAAGCCCCGGUAAACGGCGGCCGUAACUAUAACGGUCCUAAGGUAGCGAAAUUCCUUGUCGGGUAAGUUCCGACCUGCACGAAUGGCGUAAUGAUGGCCAGGCUGUCUCCACCCGAGACUCAGUGAAAUUGAACUCGCUGUGAAGAUGCAGUGUACCCGCGGCAAGACGGAAAGACCCCGUGAACCUUUACUAUAGCUUGACACUGAACAUUGAGCCUUGAUGUGUAGGAUAGGUGGGAGGCUUUGAAGUGUGGACGCCAGUCUGCAUGGAGUCGACCUUGAAAUACCACCCUUUAAUGUUUGAUGUUCUAACGUUGGCCCGUAAUCCGGGUUGCGGACAGUGUCUGGUGGGUAGUUUGACUGGGGCGGUCUCCUCCUAAAGAGUAACGGAGGAGCACGAAGGUUGGCUAAUCCUGGUCGGACAUCAGGAGGUUAGUGCAAUGGCAUAAGCCAGCUUGACUGCGAGCGUGACGGCGCGAGCAGGUGCGAAAGCAGGUCAUAGUGAUCCGGUGGUUCUGAAUGGAAGGGCCAUCGCUCAACGGAUAAAAGGUACUCCGGGGAUAACAGGCUGAUACCGCCCAAGAGUUCAUAUCGACGGCGGUGUUUGGCACCUCGAUGUCGGCUCAUCACAUCCUGGGGCUGAAGUAGGUCCCAAGGGUAUGGCUGUUCGCCAUUUAAAGUGGUACGCGAGCUGGGUUUAGAACGUCGUGAGACAGUUCGGUCCCUAUCUGCCGUGGGCGCUGGAGAACUGAGGGGGGCUGCUCCUAGUACGAGAGGACCGGAGUGGACGCAUCACUGGUGUUCGGGUUGUCAUGCCAAUGGCACUGCCCGGUAGCUAAAUGCGGAAGAGAUAAGUGCUGAAAGCAUCUAAGCACGAAACUUGCCCCGAGAUGAGUUCUCCCUGACUCCUUGAGAGUCCUGAAGGAACGUUGAAGACGACGACGUUGAUAGGCCGGGUGUGUAAGCGCAGCGAUGCGUUGAGCUAACCGGUACUAAUGAACCGUGAGGCUUAACCUU